rnacentral:rRNA from 1 species
UAGGGAAUCUUCCGCAAUGGGCGAAAGCUUGACGGAGCAACGCCGCGUGAGUGAUGAAGGUCUUCGGAUCGUAAAACUCUGUUAUUAGGGAAGAACAAAUGUGUAAGUAACUAUGCACGUCUUGACGGUACCUAAUCAGAAAGCCACGGCUAACUACGUGCCAGCAGCCGCGGUAAUACGUAGGUGGCAAGCGUUAUCCGGAAUUAUUGGGCGUAAAGCGCGCGUAGGCGGUUUUUUAAUUCUGAUGUGAAAGCCCACGGCUCAACCGUGGUGGGUCAUUGGAUACUGGAAAACUUGAGUGCAGAAGAGGAAAGUGGAAUUCCAUGUGUAGCGGUGAAAUGCGCAGAGAUAUGGAGGAACACCAGUAGCGAAGGCGACUUUCUGGUCUGUAACUGACGCUGAUGUGCGAAAGCGUGGGGAUCAAACAGG